AUGAAGACCUGUAUGAAUGGCAUAACGAGGGCUAAGCUGUCUCCUUCCCCCAGUCAGUGAAAUUGAUCUGCCCGUGCAGAAGCGGGCAUAAUCACAUUAGACGAGAAGACCCUAUGGAGCUUAAGGCACCCGAGCAGCCUAGGUCCCUACCCCCCAUAAAUGGGGAAAAACCAACUAGCCCCUGCCCAACUGCC
rnacentral:rRNA from 1 species